rnacentral:rRNA from 1 species
UUGCCAGACUCCUACGGGAGGCAGCAGUGGGGAAUAUUGGGCAAUGGGCGCAAGCCUGACCCAGCAACGCCGCGUGAAGGAAGAAGGCUUUCGGGUUGUAAACUUCUUUUCUCAGGGACGAAGCAAGUGACGGUACCUGAGGAAUAAGCCACGGCUAACUACGUGCCAGCAGCCGCGGUAAUACGUAGGGAGCAAGCGUUAUCCGGAUUUAUUGGGUGUAAAGGGUGCGUAGACGGGAAUGCAAGUUAGUUGUGAAAUCCCUCGGCUUAACUGAGGAACUGCAACUAAAACUACAUUUCUUGAGUGCUGGAGAGGAAAGUGGAAUUCCUAGUGUAGCGGUGAAAUGCGUAGAUAUUAGGAGGAACACCAGUGGCGAAGGCGACUUUCUGGACAGUAACUGACGUUGAGGCACGAAAGUGUGGGGAGCAAACAGGAUUAGAUACCCGGGUAGC